GACGAACGCUGGCGGCGUGCUUAACACAUGCAAGUCGAACGGUAAGGCCCUUCGGGGUACACGAGUGGCGAACGGGUGAGUAACACGUGGGUGAUCUGCCCUGCACUUCGGGAUAAGCCUGGGAAACUGGGUCUAAUACCGGAUAGGACUCCGGACUGCAUGGUCUGGGGUGGAAAGCUUUUGCGGUGUGGGAUGGGCCCGCGGCCUAUCAGCUUGUUGGUGGGGGGAUGGCCUACCAAGGCGACGACGGGUAGCCGGCCUGAGAGGGUGACCGGCCACACUGGGACUGAGGUACGGCCCAGACUCCUACGGGAGGCAGCAGUGGGGAAUAUUGCACAAUGGGCGCAAGCCUGAUGCAGCGACGCCGCGUGAGGGAUGACGGCCUUCGGGUUGUAAACCUCUUUCAGCACCGACGAAGCGCAAGUGACGGUAGGUGCAGAAGAAGGACCGGCCAACUACGUGCCAGCCGCCGCGGUAA
rnacentral:rRNA from 1 species